CUUGGUGACUAUAGUGAGCGUGAACCACCCGAUCCCAUCCCGAACUCGGAAGUGAAACCGCUUAGCGCCGAUGAUAGUGUGGCCGUUUGCCAUGCGAAAGUAGGGCAUUGCMAAG
rnacentral:rRNA from 16 species